rnacentral:rRNA from 1 species
GACGAACGCUGGCGGCGUGCUUAACACAUGCAAGUCGAACGGAAGGGCCCUGCUUUUGUGGUGUGCUCGAUUGGCGAACGGGUGAGUAACACGUGAGUAACCUGCCCUUGACUUUGGGAUAACUUCAGGAAACUGGGGCUAAUACAGGAUAGGAGCUCCUGCUGCGUGGUGGGGGUUGGAAAGUUUCGGCGGGUGGGGAUGGACUCGCGGCUAAUCAGUUUGUUGGUGGGGUAGUGGCUUACCAAGGCUGUGACGGGUAGCCGGCCUGAGAGGGUGACCGGGGACAUUGGGACUGAGAGAGGGACCAGACGCCAACGGGAGGCAAAGGGCGGGAGUAUGACACAGCGGGACGAAGUGGGAGGAGGAGACGUCGGGGUCGGAAAGCCGUCCUGUGGGGUAUAAACAGCUUCCGCCUGAGACGACGCGUGAGUGACGGUAAUGAGUGAAGAAGCACCGGCUAACUACGUG